CACACUGAUCCAGCACAUAGUUAGGUGAUUUUAAAGGGUUUAUGCAUGAUAUCACUGAUCCAACACAGAGUGAGGUCAUUUUAAAGGGAUUGUGCAUGACCCGCCAACGCUGACACUCAGACACCUUUGUGGUUCUGACAAGCUGUCAUAUUCUUGAAAAAGUAAGCAUCUUUAAACAUUGGUUCUAAAGUCACAGCCAUUUGUUUGAAUUCUGCACGAGUGGAGGUAUUGUAACAUGUAAGUAGUAACCAUGUCAUUUUCGUUAAAAAAAUCAUACUGUAAAAAAAGUAGUUUUGAACUUGCUGGAAUAUGUGCAAAAAACAUUUACUGAACCACAGUGACAAACCGUUUUAGUCACAUGAGGUGAUUCUCUUAGGUCUUAGGUAUGCUAUAAGCACACACACUGGCACGCAUACACACACACUGGCAUGCACACUCACAGGCACGCAUACACACACACUGGCAAGCAUGCACACACUGGCACGCAUACACACACACACACAGGCACGCAUAUACACACACAUACACACACACGGAGGCACGCAUACACACACACUCACACACAGGCAAGCAUACACACACACACACAGGCACGCAUACGCACACACACAUGCAUCGACACAAACACACUUCAAGGUUCUAACCCCUAGGAGUCUGAUAAGAUUCUCUAAGGUCUUGGUUAUUCAAGCACACAUGCACACACACACUGGAAUGCAUACACACACUGGAACACAUACACACACACACACACACACACACACACA
ensembl:lncRNA